AGGCCGUGCCCAGUGCUUAUUUG
rnacentral:miRNA from 1 species